UUUGUUCAUUUCCUCUUUGCAGGGAAUGUUUGCUUCCUCUGUGUGCGAAUAUAAGGACUUGUGUCAGGAGCCCAAUUCAUGGCCUCAGAUUGAAGCUCUAUUUGUGCAGAAAACUGGUGUCUCCUAAGCAAUGGCAGCGCAAGCUUCCCUCACCUUUCUUUUCCUUAUGAACUUCAGUCUUUCCUUGAAGGGAAGUUCAGUCACCAUGACCCAUUCAGUCCUUCGCAUCUCUAUUGAGAUGGCUUCAAAUUCGUGGCAAUUUCUCCGAUGCGGAGGUGGCAUCCAAACCAGCACCCCAAAUCCAAAAACCAACACACUCUGUGGAAGUCCAGAUCCAAAUUUUACACCUGGCCCAUACUACUACAAUGGGCUGAACCAAAACUCCAGGUCUAGAAUGCCAGGACCCUGAAGGUUAGGAAAGUCCGUGUAGGGAUCUGAACUGUGUGUCUCGGGUCUAAGUCUAAUCUUCUCAAGCACUGGGCUUUUCCUAACAGUAUUAGUGAUAAGAUGCUUCCUCCUUCCAGCUGCCGUGUUGACCUUCGUUUUCAGUUGCCUUGCCACACCUUUUCCUGCGGAUCCCCUCAGUUCCUCUCGCAGCCACUAACCCUGGCCCAUCACGGCCUCUCCAGGGCCAGAUUCUAGAUUGCAAAUCCCUUCUUCCCAUUGGGGCAGGGCUUAAUUUGUAAUGAAGGAGGUGCUGGGGCUCAAGCAAUUUUUUUUCAUUCAUAACUGAUGCGGCAAGCCCAGAGGUGCCGGGACUAUGAACUACACCUGUACCCUUAGGUUCUCAAAGGGGACAAAAGUCCAACCCCGCCUGUUACGCAAGAUGGUUUAUAAAAGGCAGCAGACGUUGAAGACAAGUAGGGGGUACCAACCAGUGACAAGAACCGAAGCCAGGGGACUUCCAGGCUCCUGCUACCGUCACAGAUGGAUAGGACGAUAAGCUGGAAGACUCUAGAAAUGGGAGGAAGUGCUUGUAGUGGAAAGUACUGAAAUGUGUUUUCAUUGGAUAAUAUUAAUGGGAUGAGGCUGCCACCCCUUCACGGGCAUUGUUUAUCUGGCUGUCACUCUGAGCGACUGGGGGACAUGUAGAAUGGAGAAAGCAAGGUUUACCAUCAUGGUUUCCUCUCCCCACUGUUUCCCGAGACCCCAACAUCCAGUGUGAGCCCCUUGGGCCUUUGCUGUCCUACUCCUGAAAAGCAUCCUGACCAGACUGGGAAAAAGAGGUUUCUGAAACUGGGGCCAUCUAAAUGAACUUACGCUCUCAGCGCCCAUAAGGGCCGUGAACACCCUCUUU